rnacentral:rRNA from 1 species
UACGGAGGGUGCGAGCGUUAUCCGGAAUUACUGGGCGUAAAGGGCACGUAGGCGGGGUAUUAAGUGUGAUGUGAAAUGCCCGGGCUUAACUUCGGAAUUGCACUGCAAACUGGUAGACUAGAGUCUGUUCGAGGGGGGCGGAAUUCCACGUGUAGCGGUGAAAUGCGUAGAGAUCUGGAGGAACACCGAAGGCGAAGGCAGCCCCCUGGGAAGGUACUGACGCUGAGGUGCGAAAGCGUGGGGAGCAAACAGG